CUAAUUUUGUGAUGCUCUUUCAAGCUGUGAUGAAUUUUUGUUUAGGCUAGUUGAGAUCAAAAUUUUGGAAAAGUGGUAUACCCGUUUCUCGCUCGUAUACAAAAUGACUGAAAAUUGCAACUUUCGCAAGGCUAUCAUACACGGCCAAGUUCGCGCAACUUGCAGCAAGUCUGUCAUCAGGCCGCAUGCGAAUUGUUGCCAUCAAGCCCCAUCUCAGAAGCGUUCGCUCGGCUUGUUGCGGCUUGACGAUACUUGCCCGCAUCAGCACGACAACAGGUUUGCUGCAAUUUGAUGUCGACAGACCUGUCGCAAUGGCGAUGACAACAGACUUGCUGCAAGUUGUCGUUAACAGACCUGUCGCAAUGGCGAUAACAACAGACUUGCAGCAAUUUGAUGUCGACAGAGCUGCAGCAUUGGCGAUGAUAACAGACUUGCAGCAAGUCCGCAGUUGACAUGACAACCAACGAUUAAACAUGCACUCGUUAUUCCCGCGUGUUUUCACACAUCAGAAUUCAAAAUGCAAAAAACACUCGCUUCAAAGUACUUUAGAUCAUUUUAUUUAUCGUAUAUGUAACUGAUCAUAAUACAAUUUUACAUGUGAAAUUACAAUAAAGGCAAAAACAUUGCUAAUAUAUACUGAAACCGAU